GUCCACACGGUAAACGAUGAAUACUCGCUGUUGGCGAUACAAUGUCAGCGGCCAAGCGAAAGCAUUAAGUAUUCCACCUGGGGAGUACGCCGGCAACGGUGAAACUCAAAGGAAUUGACGGGGGCCCGCACAAGCGGAGGAACAUGUGGUUUAAUUCGAUGAUACGCGAGGAACCUUACCCGGGCUUAAAUUGCACUGGACAGGCCAAGAGAUUGGCUCUUCUUCGGAUCAGUGUGAAGGUGCUGCAUGGUUGUCGU
rnacentral:rRNA from 1 species